UACGGGGGGGGCAAGCGUUGUUCGGAAUUACUGGGCGUAAAGGGUCCGUAAGUGGCCAACUAAGUCAGACGUGAAAUCCCUCAGCUCAACUGGGGAACUGCGUCUGAUACUGGUCGGCUUGAGUGCGGGAGAGGAACGCGGAAUUCCAGGUGUAGCGGUGAAAUGCGUAGAUAUCUGGAGGAACACCGGUGGCGAAGGCGGCGUUCUGGACUGCAACUGACACUGAGGAACGAAAGCCAGGGGAGCAAACGGG
rnacentral:rRNA from 1 species